GACGAACGCUGGCGGCGUGCUUAACACAUGCAAGUCGAACGGUAAGGCCCUUCGGGGUACACGAGUGGCGAACGGGUGAGUAACACGUGGGUGAUCUGCCCUGCACUUCGGGAUAAGCCUGGGAAACUGGGUCUAAUACCGGAUAGGACUCCUGGCUUCAUGGUUGGGGGUGGAAAGCUUUUGCGGUGUGGGAUGGGCCCGCGGCCUAUCAGCUUGUUGGUGGGGUAAUGGCCUACCAAGGCGACGACGGGUAGCCGGCCUGAGAGGGUGACCGGUCACACUGGGACUGAGAUACGGCCCAGACUCCUACGGGAGGCAGCAGUGGGGAAUAUAGCACAAUGGGCGCAAGCCUGAUGCAGCGACGCCGCGUGAGGGAUGACGGCCUUCGGGUUGUAAACCUCUUUCACCUAUGACGAAGCGCAAGUGACGGUAGUAGCAGAAGAAGGACCGGCCAACUACGUGCCAGCCGCCGCGGUAA
rnacentral:rRNA from 1 species